GUAGGUGGCAAGCGUUGUCCGGAAUUAUUGGGCGUAAAGCGCGCGCAGGCGGUCCUUUAAGUCUGAUGUGAAAGCCCACGGCUCAACCGUGGAGGGUCAUUGGAAACUGGGGGACUUGAGUACAGAAGAGGAAAGCGGAAUUCCAAGUGUAGCGGUGAAAUGCGUAGAGAUUUGGAGGAACACCAGUGGCGAAGGCGGCUUUCUGGUCUGUAACUGACGCUGAGGCGCGAAAGCGUGGGGAGCAAACAGGAUUAGAUACCCUGGUAGUCCACGCCGUAAACGAUGAGUGCUAAGUGUUAGGGGGUUUCCCGCCCCCUUAGUGCUGCAGCUAACGGAUUAAGCACUCCGCCUGGGGGAGUACGGCCGCAAGGCUG
rnacentral:rRNA from 1 species